rnacentral:lncRNA from 1 species
UGGGUAUAGAAACAGGUUAGAAACAUAGUGUUGAUAGACGGUAUAUAGGAGCACUAUAUUGCAUGUUAACCACCGAUGGUAGGUUUAGAAAAAUACUGAUAAUAGACGGUAUAUAGGUGCACUGUAUUAUAUGUUAACCACCGACGGUAGGUAGAGAAAAAUAGUAUUGAUAGACGGUAUAUAGGAGUACUGUAAUGCUUGUUAACCACCGAUGGUAGGUAUAGACAGGUACUGUUGAUAUACGGUAUAUAGGAGUACUGUAUGGCAUGUUAACCACCGACGGUAGGUACAGACAAAUACUGUUGAUAGACGAUAUAUAGGAGUACUGUAUGGCAUGUUAACCACCGACGGUAGGUAUAGACAAAUACUGUUGAUAGACAGUAUAUAGGAGGACUAUAUUGCAUGUUAACCACCGACGGUAGGUAUAGACAAAUACUGUUGAUAGACGGUAUAUAGGAGCACUAUAUUGUAUGUUAACUACCAACAGUAGGUAUAGACUAAAACUCUUGAUAGACGGUAUAUAGGAGCACUAUAUUGUAUGUUAACCACCGACGGUAGGUAUAGACAAAUACUGUUGAUAGACGGUAUAUACACAUGUAGGAGCACUAUAUUGUAUGUUAACUACCGACAGUAGGUAUAGACAAAUACUGUUGAUAGACGGUAUAUAGGAGCACUAUAUUGUAUGUUAACUACCAACAGUAGGUAAAGACUAAAACUCUUGAUAGACGGUAUAUGUAAUAGCACUAUAUCGUAUGUUAAUCACCGACGGUAGGUAUAGACAAAUACUGGUUGAUAGACGGUAUAUAGGAGCACUAUAUUGUAUGUUAACCACCGACGGUAGGUAUAGACAAAUACUGCUGAUAGACGGUAUAUAGGAGCACUAUAUUGUAUGUUAACC